rfam:Bombyx mori DNA, contig: Bm_scaf34_contig20878, strain: p50T/Dazao, build 2, whole genome shotgun sequence.
UUAACUCAAAUUUGUAUGGAGUUGGAAAGUUUGCCUACGUAUGCCGCUAGGGGCGCUGUUCCAACUGCACACAAAUUUGAGUUA